rnacentral:rRNA from 1 species
UACGGAGGGAGCAAGCGUUACUCGGAAUUAUUGGGCGUAAAGGGCGCGUAGGCGAUCUAGCAAGUCCUGUGUGAAAGCCCAGAGCUUAACUCUGGAAGUGCACAGGAGACUGUUUGGAAUUGAGUUCAGGAGAGGAAAGCAGAAUUCCCGGUGUAGCGGUGAAAUGCGUAGAGAUCGGGAGGAAUACCAGUGGCGAAGGCGGCUUUCUGGACUGACACUGACGCUGAGGCGCGAAAGCCAGGGGAGCAAACGGG